AUUCCUAAUAGCAGGGACACUUCAGUUUAUAAUCCAGUUCAUACUAGGACAUAUAACAAGAAAAGAAUGUUGGUGGAUAUUUGCAGCAGUUGGCCUCCUCCUUAAUGGGUUAGCUUACAUAUGGUACCCAUUCACCUCCUCUGUAUGGGUGAACAUUGGCCCCCAGAGCUUGAUAUACAU